GCGUGUGUCUGUGUGUGUGUGUGUGUGUGUGUGUGUGUGUGUGUGUGUGUGUGUGUUGGCAUUCAUCACGUCCUGGGGACAACAAACUGUUUACACAGUCACGUCAUGGGGACCUCUAACAGUAUGGGGACGAAAAAUGAGGUCCCCUAAAGGGAAACUCUUUUAAAUGAAUGCAGGAGUCUAUCUGAAGGUGCCUGUGUGGUUUUUAGCUUUGGCCCAUUGGGCAUGUUUUCCAGUUAGUGUGUGUGUGUGAACGGGGCAUGCUUGCGCCCCCUUACUGUAUGAGCUGGUAAGGCACUCACCGUUCCACACACACAGAUCUUCCAAAUAUGGUAUGUUACCGCCCACUUCCUGGUCCCCAUUAAGAAGGAUUUUAGGAGCAAACACAAUUUUCAGUGUUUAAAGGGAGCAUCGCAAAGGCCCUUCAAUUAAAGAUGUUUGUCACAUAAAAAGAGGAACUACAACACCACAAGGUAAGCAAUAUUAUCUUAUUUACUUACUUGCUAUAAUCAUUAUUUGUAUAGAUGACCAUUUUAAACCACUAAUGAGGUUAAUUAGUGUUAAUUAGUUAGUAGGAUAGCUAGUUAGCUUUAAUUAGCAACAGAAGGCUAGUGUAACUAGCAAAUUUACAAUGUUUUACUAACAAUGUUUUUAGCUUUCCCUGAAAGCUACUGUUAGUUGUUACAUGAUGGAUGGAUUCUGUGCAUUUCUAGGAGUUUAUACCAACUAAAAAAAGUGAAAUAUUUUUCAGUGUGUAACAGAGAAAUUUAAAAUACAUUUCCAGGUAAUGAAUUUAGUAAUAUAUAGAGGUGUAACUUAAUCCUAGGUAAAUAUAGGUGAGAUAUAUUAUAGAAAAAUUGUAAAGAGAUGUUUUGAUGAUUUAAAGCAAGCUGUCCAUGUUAAGAGAAAGUGCAUCUGGACAGGUAUUUUUGGGACCUGAGCUUGACAAGGCUGCAAUUUGAUGUUUGUAUCUUUAAAGUGACUAGUGAAGUGAUUCCACAUGCCUCCUCUACAUAAAUGGGUCCUGAUUGAUUUUACUACCAGAAAAAAGUAAACUUAGCUUACUUAUAAUUAUUAAUAUUAUUUUAUUAUUAAAAAUGAAUAAUUUAGAAUAGGGCAUGGCAAGAAGGGAAGGCAUCUGACACUGAGCCGACAGGAAAGGGCGAGUAUGGGGAAAAAAGUUAUAGAGCUAAGCCUCUGAACACCCACACAGUUUUUUCAGUUUAUCUUGCUGAUUAUUAGUCUUCUUGGGACUGUAUGGGUGUGUAUACUGUGAUUGAUUGACAUCUUCCUGAGUCUUCUGUCAGCUUUGUUACACCUGUUAGGGCAGGACAAAAUAUACCUUCACCAUUCGUAUUGGAGAUUUAGAUUUGUGACCUCAUGGAGUUUCAUCAAAGCUUAAGCCCACCCUAAACCUGAGCAGAGGUCUAAUCAGCCAUAAUAACUGAAAACACCUGUGUGGAUGUUCACUUAGAGCCUCUAAUUGUAUUGUAAUAGAACUAAAGCCAAAGCUGUCUCAUUAAACAUUUCUCUGCAGUUUUAAAUGCCACCAAGGUCAGUCCUCUUAAGGAUGCCCUUCAGCAUGUUCACUUCAUAUACAUAUUGAAAAUGAUUUUGAGACAUUUAAUUGCAAAACUUCAGGAUGCAUUAGAUAAGCUUAGGUCAAUAAAGCUGCCAUCAAAUGCACUAAUAAUUGGCAAUUGUGUUUUUAGGACAUAUUGCCACAGACUAAUUAACAUUCGUAAUGUCCUGUUUUUUUUGAAAAUGUAUUACUUUGUCUUACAGGACGUGGUGUAUUUGCCCUAUCUUCAUUCUUCAAAGGAGAUUUUGUACUGGAAUACAGAGGAGACAUGAUAGAUGAUGCAGAAUCUCAAAGGAGAAGGUGCAUUUAUCACUCAUCAUGUGUUGCAUUCAUGCUUCAUUCAAGUGGAGAGGGAGAACAUGGUGAUGACCAUGAAUGCAGCUGAUGCUGUCAUUCCUGUGGAAAGCUCCCACCAUGCUGUCUUGUUAGAGACGCAGAUGACUGAAACUUUGAGUCCAUGAGACACUAAUCAACAGAUGACCAUGAAUGCAGCUGAUGCUGUCAUUCCUGUGGAAAGCUCCCAGCAUGCUGUCUUGUUAGAGACGCAGAUGACUGAAACUUUGAGUCCAUGAGACACUAAUCAACAGAUGACCAUGAAUGCAGCUGAUGCUGUCAUUCCUGUGGAAAGCUCCCAGCAUGCUGUCUUGUUAGAGACGCAGAUGACUGAAACUUUGAGUCCAUGAGACACUAAUCAACAGAUGACCAUGAAUGCAGCUGAUGCUGUCAUUCCUGUGGAAAGCUCCCAGCAUGCUGUCUUGUUAGAGACGCAGAUGACUGAAACUUUGAGUCCAUGAGACACUAAUCAACAGAUGACCAUGAAUGCAGCUGAUGCUGUCAUUCCUGUGGAAAGCUCCCAGCAUGCUGUCUUGUUAGAGACGCAGAUGACUGAAACUUUGAGUCCAUGAGACACUAAUCAACAGAUGAAAGGCACAGAUGUUGAAGAUUCAAAUGAAGUAUCCGACUCUAUACAAGUUUGUAUUGUUGCUUUCAGUUUUGUCUUGAGAGAACGCAAAUGAGCAGGACUCAAUAAAAAGUUUAAAUGUAUAAUUUAAAUGAGAGUUUGACUUCUUGAACUAAGGAAAUUAUUUUUUACUAUGAAGUAAUGCAGCAAACAACACAGACAAACAUGAAUACUAGUUUUAGGGUUGUUGAGUAUUCUGUGACUGAGAAGUACAAUAUUCCACAGUUUCUGGGUAGUUGACUGUGGUUAAAAAUAAGAACCAUGUGAGACGUAAACGAAGAAAAACCCUUACAGUGAAAUUAAGGUUGAAAAGUUUGAUGGGUGAGACAACAAUUUAGUAAUUCACUACUAAAUUCUUGGUACUUAAGUGACCCCUGAUAUCAAGAUUAAGUUAGAACAAUGUCUCUAGUAUAAAUGAUAUGUAAAUCAUUUGAUUCCCAUUUUAUUUGUAUAACAAAUUGUAUGUUUACCCUGUUUUCGCUAUAAAUAAAAACUAAAAAAGUA